AAUCAAAACUGAUUGGAUCUGUUUUAUGGCUACAAAUCUAAUUUUACCUCGAGGUACUGUGCCUGGGAGCCCAGUGCAUGAGAAUUCUGAGUGCUAAAGAGGGUUUUGGCAAGUCAUGCAGGCACCACCACUCUGUAGGGGGUGAAGCCAAACCUGGUGGUUGAGCUAUUUCAUCUUGCAGCAAUACAGUGAUUUUCUGUGGAGAAGAAACAGCCUGACUCUAUUUGCUAUUGAAAGAUUUUGAAAUAGGUAUUUGUUUUGCUAAAGACAUCCAGGUGCAACUACAUCACCAAAGUCUACAGAAAAUUUACAUCAUGCCUAUAGGUGAAGACAGGGGCCUACAACUGAAAAGUGAAUCCUGGUGUCACCAAUUUCCCCUCACAAAAUGGAGCUACAGAAUUCUUCACUGUGAAGAUUGAAGAAACAAAGCAGUAAGGAAGACACCAACAUUAUUUUGUUAAAAACAGAUAUCUUAAGGAGCAGCACUGGAAGGAGUUAAGAAGCUGAGAAUUAAGUCACAUUUUGACAUGUAUAGGUAAGAAAGAGGGUUUGCUGUCUAAUUGUAAUUAUUCAGAGAAAAAAAAAUUGUUUGUUUUGAAAUGCAACACUGAAAUUGCGCUGAAACAUUUUUUAUUUGUAAGCUAAACAAAACUGAUUGAGAAACAAUUUUCUGCCAUUUUAAAGAAUUAUAUGAUACUCUGAAGGGUAGUUUUGAAAAUAAAAGAAAACAUCAUUAAUUUUAUAAUUGCA
rnacentral:lncRNA from 1 species